AACUUUUGGCAACGGAUCACUUGGCUCUCGCAUCGAUGAAGAACGCAGCGAAAUGCGAUAAGUAAUGUGAAUUGCAGAAUUCAGUGAAUCGUCGAAUCUUUGAACGCACCUUGCACCCUUUGGCAUUCCGAAGGGUAUGCUCGUUUGAGUGUCAUUGUACUCUCACACUUCUGAUCCUUUGGAUCGGGAGUGGUGGACUUGGGUGCUGCUGCUUUACUGUGGCUCACCUCAAAUGCAUUAGUGCAACUCUUGGUUGGACAUAGUACGGCGUGAUAAGUAUCUUCGCCGGCACCUCGCAAGAGGGUGGCUGAUCAGGGGCUCUGUGCUUUCCAACUGUCUUCAGACAACAACUGACAACUUGACCUCAAAUCGAGUAGGACCACCCGCUGAACUUAAGCAUAUCAAUAAGCGGAGGCU
rnacentral:misc_RNA from 1 species